GACGAACGCUGGCGGCGUGCCUAAUACAUGCAAGUUGAGCGAUGAAGAUUGGUGCUUGCACCAAUUUGAAGAGCAGCGAACGGGUGAGUAACGCGUGGGGAAUCUGCCUUUGAGCGGGGGACAACAUUUGGAAACGAAUGCUAAUACCGCAUAACAACUUUAAACAUAAGUUUUAAGUUUGAAAGAUGCAAUUGCAUCACUCAAAGAUGAUCCCGCGUUGUAUUAGCUAGUUGGUGAGGUAAAGGCUCACCAAGGCGAUGAUACAUAGCCGACCUGAGAGGGUGAUCGGCCACAUUGGGACUGAGACACGGCCCAAACUCCUACGGGAGGCAGCAGUAGGGAAUCUUCGGCAAUGGACGAAAGUCUGACCGAGCAACGCCGCGUGAGUGAAGAAGGUUGUCGGAUCGUAAAACUCUGUUGGUAGAGAAGAACGUUGGUGAGAGUGGAAAGCUCAUCAAGUGACGGUAACUACCCAGAAGGGGACGGCUAACUACGUG
rnacentral:rRNA from 1 species